GCGUGACUCGGUCUCCCCGGUGGUCUCUGUGCUAAGCACCAUGGAAUAUGUUCAUGCUACAACACGACCUUGGGCCCCACACCCUCACAUCAAUUUGCCAGGCUACUGUGACAGAAGAAAGCAUACAGUUCCCAAGAGUAAGUGAAUGACAUGCAGAAAAUAAAGAUCACAUGAGCAUCUGGGAUCAGAAACAGAUAUUUAUCUAUGCCGAUAACAUGGAGAUCACAUCUCACCUUGUGUUUCAUCUUAGCCUGUAUGCACAACGUUGCUCUUUAAGGAACAGCCCUGGAUCAUAAACUACAGGGUAUACAUUACAGGGCCUCCAUUCACUACCAGA